CCUCCAAGCUGUUGUGAACAACUGCUGUUUCUGGAGCAUCAGUUGCAAGAUGCCAGGCAGUGUCCAUGAUGCCAAUGUCCUGCGCCACUCUGACCUCUAUCAAAGGGCUCAUCUAAUGCCAAAAUCUGUGAGGAACAUUGAAGGAAAGGACAUCAGUCUCCUCGUUGUUGGUGACCCUGCAUACCCGCUGUUGGACUGGCUCAUCAAAGGAUACCCAAACUCUCCUCGUCUGACUCCUCAACAAGAGUCAUUUAAUGUU